GUGAAAUCCAUUUGCUGAGGUCUGGUGCCUAACAAAAGGGAGAGCUGUUCAGUACAGGCAGCACCUCCUCAUCUAUCACCCUUAGCAAAUCCCUGGUUUAAGAGUUAAAGCAGGAACCAGAAGCAGCAUGGCAACAAUUUUUGAAUUCAUAUUAAUCCUUCAUUACCAAUUGCUGAAAAAGAGGAAGCAUUUGUGAUGUGUGUCCAUGCCCAUUCACACUGGCAGAACUGCUGCACAUAGGUGGUUGGGAUUUGCAUUUUCAGGCAAGCAGAUUACUCCCUUUCUUGGCCACCUCUUCUCUCAUGCUCCUUCCUCCCUUUGAAAUUCUCUUAUUGGAGGCCCAAAGAUGGCAGUCUCCUGCCCCAGACCACCUGGGGAAAAUGGUCUUUACUGAAAUGGAAGAUAUCUGCCAGUCCCCUUCUGAGAUGCUUCCUUGAUUGGCUGCCUGCA